rnacentral:rRNA from 1 species
UGAGGAACAUGACCUUCGGCGGGGGAUAGCCGGCCCAACGGCCGGGUAAUACCGCGUACGACCACAUGGGGACAUCCCUGAGUGGUGAAAGCAGCAAUGCGCCGAUGGAGUGCCUCGCGGCCUAUCAGCUAGUUGGUGAGGUAACGGCUCACCAAGGCAACGAUGCGUAGCCGACCUGAGAGGGUNAUCGGCCACAUUGGAACUGAGACACGGUCAGACCUCUACGGGAGG